GUGCCUGCAGAGCUCGUGCCCAGCAGGACACCGUGUCUCUGGUCGGGCUUCCCGCAGCGGCUCCAGGCGCCUCAGCUCAGCAGUGAGGGCGGCGGUCAUACAGGCCCUGCACUCCUGGAGAUGGAAAGUACAGAGUAAUUAUAGGAGCCUCUGGCAUUGCGGAGUUGUGGCCCUUACAGAAGAACUCUGCUAGGGUGCCUUCAGUACGCAGUGCAGAAGAGGCAACGCUGUUCGUUUAACAUGAGGGAAAAAAUACUUAAUUGCCGCUCAUUAAGUGUGUAGGACGGCUGCUCACAGCCUGUGCAGCAAGAAAAGCUGGGGAUCUGUGGAAAUAAAACACCGAAAAAUAAGUGCUCUUUGAUCGUGUUGCUGUCAUGAAAUGCAUACACGAGAGCAAAACUGAAACUACUCCUGUAACUUCGGCCUGUCAUUCCCUACCCUUUGCAUGCUACUCUUUGCCAUGUCACUGUAUGUGGCAGGCAGACCACGGGCAGGUGGUGGCUACCCUGCCCAGACACCAUUCUAGCCCUCCGCCAGGGCUAUGCUGAAAGCCACCUGAUUGCCCAAUGGCUUUUUGCCAUCUGCCGUUCACCUUUAAUACCGCCUCUUAUUCUGCGCUAUCUUACACUCGAUGUUUUUUUACCCUUUCUCAUAACCUCCUUUACCUGAUUUCUCUCUUCCUCUGUAUUAAAAACAGAUGUUUGGGCUUACAUGCAUCUGUAAACCUUUCCUUGUCCCCAUGUGGAUGACAUAACAGAGGAGUUGGUCUCCAGAGCUACAGCCAGGCCCCUUCCUCAACUGCUGAAGCUCUACACCACAGCCACUGCCUCACAAAUUAUCAGGGGGUGCUUUUGUAGACAGCAACCGCCUUCACCAGUGAGCCCCGAUUCCUCACAGAGCAUCACUUACCUUUCCCACAGAAUGACAAAGCAGGCCUCUAAUGAAUAUGGUGCUUCAGCUGACUGUUUGAAGGUAUUUUCUCAGCUGUGAACAAUUCAUAGGAAGAGAAUAAAAUCUGAAAAACACAUUCCUUCAGUAAUACUCAACUAUAAAAAACUCACCAGCACAUCCAAACUGUAAUGCUCCUGUACAGAAAGUUGUUGAUGCUCCUGAAGGCACUUUGCCUGCUGUUCUAUGCCAGUGGAAACUAGGGCUGAGGCAAUGAAGCAUAGAUGGUUGUUUUAAAAUGGACCUAGACAUAUUUCUGAAACACAAUUAAAAAAAAAUGCAAUUAAAGUAUUUUCUAUGGUGCUAUGUUGUUAAUACUGGUUUGACCACCACCGGAUUCUAAUAUGGGAUAUGUCUCUUUGUCAGUGUGAUUGUAUUAAGCACAGUGAUAGCUAACUCUUACGAGUUUUCUACAGUCUUUGCAAUACCAUGGACACUAUUUCAGGAAUUUUAAACUUCUGCCUAGUAUCGGAAAUCAUUCAGAUACCACACUGAAACCUGAGAAAUCAUGUACCUGCACCCUCAUUUUCAGUAGGCAGUGUGAGUAGCAUCUAGCCUAAAAUCCUUAUCUCUAUGAAAACGGUGCCCUGUCCCAACAUGUGGUGUAUUCAGCCACUGACAGGUCUUCAUGCAGGUGAUAAUAUUUUUUGUGUGAUAUUUUAUUAAUCCAAAAUGCCAUCACUUACAACCCACAGAGGGAUAUGCCAGAAGUGGCAGGAAGCCCCACUUCUCAGCACCCUGUGUUUAAAUCAAACUUUCACCUCAGUAGAGCUGACUGUAGUGCUGCGAAGCUACUUCAGAGAAAAAAAGUGAUCAGAAAUUGUGCCUUGUGGCUUUUCUGCUACUUUGUGUU